AUUUAUAUAGUUUAAUAAAAACAUUACAUUUUCACUGUAAAAAUAAAAUAUUUUUUUAUAAAUU
rnacentral:tRNA from 1 species